GCGGGAGUAGCUCAGGGGUAGAGCAUCAGCCUUCCAAGCUGAGGGUCGCGGGUUCGAAUCCCGUUUCCCGCUCCA
rnacentral:tRNA from 1 species